AACAGCAUUCACUGCACCACAAACACACACACUCACACACACAUACACACACAUACAGGCGGAAAUGUUUUCCCAGAAAUUCAGACAGCCAGCAUCAAAGGCGGAGAACCUGUUAACAGAAAGAAUAAGAGGGCCGGAAAAAAAUGUGGGGGAAAAUUUGUAAACCGAAAGGCAUCAUUCACAUACGUGUGGUCUUUGUUCAUUCAGUUCACGGUACAUUCUGGCCCUCUUGUGGAUUAAAAAGACAAGACUUCGAGGCGAUGCGGACAUGAGACGGCAGCAAGCAAGAAUGGAACGGACAUUCGUCACGCGACGUUUUUGACGUGAGAAGUGGGGUAGAGGGGUCGUCGUGCGAACAACAAGGCGACUGGUUUCACAUUUCGAAGUUAAGGCCGAGGUGAUUUCAACGACGGAUGACGCAUUGGAUGUCUGCGAGAGAAAAUGGAUGAACGCAGGAAUCGGACGAUUAAUCAGCACCGAUUCUUUAGAUGUCGGUAGCAAAAGAAAAUAAAUUUGACCUUUUUUGUUGGUCAGUAAACACAUCGUGAAGUUAUUCUUUAGUAGUGUUAGGCGUUUAAAGUUAAGAGGGAGCAAACGGAUGUGUGACAAAGAGCAAGAUAACAGGAUCAAAGUUCGUUUGACCUUUUUGAGCUUCCAUCCUCCAUGUAACGGAUCAUGCUUUAUAUGGAUAUGUUACACAUCCACAAUCUAUAGGGAGUACACAGGGAGUGCUAGCCGUGCUAACUGCUAAUAUAAAAAUGCUAAAGACGAUAAAAUGUCAACCGUGCAAUCAUUUCGUCCCAGUUUUAAGCGCCUGCUCUCACACACGGUGUGACGUCACCUCUGCUCAAUAAUUAGCGUUUGCUCAUGACAGGAUGGAAGGAAAGAAAUAUUCUGAAUCUUAAAGACUUAAAUUCAGCCAGAAUCAGGUCGAAGCAGGCUAAAGCUUUAGAAAAAAAAAAAAAAAAAAAAAUCUGGAAAUUGGCCGAAAAAUUGUAAUCGGUGCGUCUCUGGUUCUUAGUCCCGGCACAUCUUGAAGAUGAAGACACGAGAAUAUAGAAAAGGACUAAAGCUUCAGAUAGAUACAUUGACGAGAAGAUUGGCAGUGUAGAACUUUCUUUCUAGCACAUAUCUACUGCAGAAAAAUGCACAGUAUUGGCUAA